AAAAGAAGAAAAAAAAAGAUGUUUUUAUACACUGAAUAAUAAUAUUCAAUGUAGUUUUAGAAUAAAUAAUUCGAAAUGAAUUCUACAGCAUUUUGAAUAAGAGAAUAAAAACAGUUGGCAAUCUGAAACAAACAAAACAAAAUGCAGCAAUCAUCUCUUUACUACUUCUGCAUUUGAAGGGUAUUAAAAACAAAUGCAAGAGCUAAACGAAGACACGUGGCAAUGAUUUAAACAGGACAUGAGCAUCAGGUGAUUUAAGAUAACAAUUAAUGACUGAAAGGUGACAAGGAAUUCUAAUCAGCUUUUCCCAAGCUCCAAAAACAACAACUGACUGUCAAAGAUGAUAAAAUGGUCAGGAGUAAACAAAGGUAAAAUACUGUAAGAAUUGAAUCCAUUGAAACAGAUAGAUCUUGAAAAGCAUGAAAAGAAAUCUAUGAUAUUUUGUACUAGGCUCUAGUAUUAAACUAGUUUUACAACUGAAUUGGUGGAACUGUUACAAUCUUAAGGCAAAUGCUUUCGAGUGCAUGAGACAUUUCAUCUGUUAGGCAGGAUAAAAGUCUGAACAAUCACAGUAGUUUUUUUCAGGAAUGAAAGCUGUUGAUUUCCAUCAGUUGAUCCUUCAUGUUUUUGAGUGGGCACAAAGAAGCAGAGCUCAGAGGCCAUCAAAAGAAUCUUUGUUAUUUGUAGAAGAGGACUAGAUCCCUUCAGAUGCAAGGAGCAUUUACUAACUACGAAGGCUAAAGACUAAAUCAUCCUUAAGACAGAGCUCAUGGGGGAAAAAGAAAACAAAAAUAAUUACAGCGGUGCUGCUUCCUUCAAGCAGAUUUCACUGCAAGAGGAACAUAGAGUAAAACUAUGAGACACCAUGUGGAGCUGGCAAUAAUUUCCAGGAAGAACCUGUAGACAGCAGCCACAUCUGACUUAGACAAUGAGGAUGGAAUGAGAACUGCUUAACUCAGGCCUUUUAAACCACAACUACAUCCUCCCAAAAUUCCAGUACUGGAACUGUAUCUGCUAACCCACACACAGCUACCUGCUGAAACGCAACCAACACACUUUUUUUGGAAGCUCUUCUCAUUGAAAAUGAAAGCCUAUAUGUCCAUCAGUGUAUGCUGAAGAUAAUCUAGAAGUACUACAGCUUACAGCCACAGUUUCAAGAACAGUUGGUCUGGCCCAUUUCAAAACUUAGUUCUGCUAAAUAAUUGGAGCAUGGUCUUCAGCAACACCUGCAUAGGAGGUGCCAAGGAAAUAGUAAUUCCAUUAUUCAUUAGAAACGUUUGUACUGUUCAGUGCUCAAAAAAAGCAAGUAGAACUCCCUAUAAACAAAUGGCAGCCCUGCUUUCUCACAUUCAUUUAUCUGCCUAAACAGCACUUCCUUCACCACAAACCAUGGCUUUUGCCCUCUUCCCACUGAAGUAAACUGUGAUAAUAACUGGCUGUAACUGGCUGCAUCUGGGCAGAUUGGCAAGAUGGUGAGUUCCUGUUUUACUGUCAUGUAUUAUAUUCAAACGGGUAAUUUAUUAUUAUUAUUAUUUUUAUUACAGUUAAUCCAAAUUCAUUCAUGAGAAACUGCUGUCUUCCCAUAAUUGUAUAACAGAACAUCCAGGAAAAAAAAAAAAAAAAGCACAAAAAUAGCAUGAAUGGGACAAGUGAGGCACAUGAAUAAUGACCUUCAAAUUAGGAAGGGAGGGGUGGGUGUACCCUGGCAAAGUCCUUCAAGCCAACUUCAGUGCAGCAGCACUUUCCCGAUUUUAGGAGAUAUUAUUUGGACCUACAAACUUUUAUACAACAUCAAAGAGCUUUACUUGCCAAAGCAAAAACACUGAACAGAUACUGCAAGCACUAAAUAUUGUCAAAAAUCAUCAAAAAUGGCGUUCUGAUAGAAGCAUCACAAACUGCUAGCAAUGCAGGUCAGGUGCAAGCAAAAGAGAAUGUUACUGCUUGUGUUGGUUUCUUCCCUCCUGCAAAGUUUACACAGCCAUGGAAAUAAAAGCUAGGUCAAAAGAGCAUUUUUACUUCAUUCUUCUGAGUUGUAAUACUCCGAAUAGAUGCUUAAGAGCAACAGGUUACA